rnacentral:misc_RNA from 1 species
GAGGCGUGCCUUUAAUAACUAUGUCCUCAAGAAGAAGGAGUUAAAAGAUGUGGAAUUUAAGUUUUGAGUAGGGCCUUAGGAGAUCAAAGGGUUAGGAAUGACGGGAAUAUGAGACAACCAAGGGGAAGGGGUGGACAUGAACUCAUGAAGUGGGUUGAUAAAUCUUUGUAGCUGGGGAUGGACCUCAUCCUUUUAGUGAGACAGCCAUGAUGAGAAGUGCAUGAGCAAUUCUGUAUCAGUGAACUUGGAGGAGAAAGGAUCAACAGGAGAAGCCAUCAAAGAGAAUGUACUGGAGCUUUAGGAGAAUUAAAAAGGGAAUGAUUAACAUAGGUUGCAGUGAUGAAAGUGGAAGAAUGGAGUGAGAGAGAUUCCUGAAUGUAGAUUGGAAUAGUCAACACAGGUGAUUGUAGGAUAAGAAAAGGCUUAUGAAAUCACGAAGAUCAUAGAGAUAUGGUCUGAUAAAAUGAAUUUAGAUACACAUGCUGUAUUGCUGUUUAUAAUUUAUUUCCUGCUGGUUUGGCUGGAACCUCUAGGUUAAGAAAAGUCUCUUCAUGCUUUAAUCUGAUGGGAUGAAUUUAAGCCCUCCAUUUUAGUGGCAGUGAUUUGUCAUCUUCUCUAUUUUGUUAUCAUCUGCACUGAUAUUGUGCUAAACCUGCAGUUAUUGAAACUUGAAGGAAUGUAAUGGUUUAUGAAGCCACACAAUUUCUUCUUUUCAGAUGUAACAUAUAUUUUCAUCCUAUGUGAAUGGUUUCAUUUGGUCCAAUCUAAUAUGUAAGAUUGUAAGUUUCUAGUCGCCAUUAGUUUGGACUGUCAUUUCAUUGCACCUAGUGUACGCUGCAGGUUAAUUAUGGAUUUCUUUUCCCUUUCUAAAAUGCUUCCAAAUAUUUGUGUUUUCAAGAAUUUUAGAUUCUAAUUUGCUUGUUUUGGUGUUGUACAUUAAAAGCAGAAUAUUAAAUGAUUGCGUUAUUUUUCUUGGCUAAAAUGAGGGUAAAAAGUUGUUAAUUCCUUUUAGUCUUCAAUAUUUUAAUGAUUGCUUGCUGCCAUUUGCAUUGUCAAAUUAAGGGCAUAGAAAAUGGUGGAAUUUUUAUUGAUAUUUUGGUUAAAUUUCUUCUGCGUGUUUCUACAGGUAUUGGUUAUCAG